rnacentral:rRNA from 1 species
AGUGAACGCUGGCGGUAGGCCUAACACAUGCAAGUCGAACGGCAGCACAGUAAGAGCUUGCUCUUACGGGUGGCGAGUGGCGGACGGGUGAGGAAUACAUCGGAAUCUACUUUUUCGUGGGGGAUAACGUAGGGAAACUUACGCUAAUACCGCAUACGACCUACGGGUGAAAGCAGGGGAUCUUCGGACCUUGCGCGAUUGAAUGAGCCGAUGUCGGAUUAGCUAGUUGGCGGGGUAAAGGCCCACCAAGGCGACGAUCCGUAGCUGGUCUGAGAGGAUGAUCAGCUACACUGGAACUGAGACACGGUCCAGACUCCUACGGGAGGCAGCAGUGGGGAAUAUUGGACAAUGGGCGAAAGCCUGAUCCAGCCAUACCGCGUGGGUGAAGAAGGACUUCGGGUUGUAAAGCCCUUUUGUUGGGAAAGAAAAGCAGCAGGUUAAUACCCCGCUGUUCUGACGGUACCCAAAGAAUAAGCACCGGCUAACUUCGUG